rnacentral:rRNA from 1 species
UACGUAGGGAGCGAGCGUUUGUCCGGAUUCAUUGGGCGUAAAGAGCUCGUAGGCGGCUUGAUAAGUCGGAUGUGAAACCUCCAGGCUCAACCUGGAGUCGCCAUCCGAUACUGUCAUGGCUAGAGUCCGGUAGGGGCCCACGGAAUUCCUGGUGUAGCGGUGAAAUGCGCAGAUAUCAGGAGGAACACCGGUGGCGAAGGCGGUGGGCUGGGCCGGCACUGACGCUGGAGGAGCGAAAGCGUGGGGAGCGAACAGG